rnacentral:lncRNA from 1 species
UAAUCGCGUGGUCACGAUUAUCUGAUAGUGUUUUAUUGUUUAUUUAUUUUUACAAAUUAGAAUGACCUGAAAUUUGGAGCGUGUAUUCAUCAAUAAUAAGGUAAUGUUCGAAAAAUAUAAAAAAAUAUUUUACAUGAAACAUAUUGACUAAAAUACCCUUAAAAAGUUUUGGGGGUAUUUUGGUCAAUUUUGUUUUCCAGGAUAAUUUUUUUUGAAUGAGCCUCAGUAAGAUGUACAUACUCUUGAAAUUUCAAGUCAUUCUAAUUUAUAGAAAAAAACUGAAAAAUAAAACACUAACAGACAAACGUGACCGCACGAUGAAAUUUGGACAGUAAUGAGGGUAGACAAAAUCACUAUUCAUUUUUGCCAAUAAGCGUUAAGAAGAAUAUAUAUAUAUAUAUGGAUGGAAAAGUCUUCCCAACGAGGUAAAAAUGAAUAGUAAUUUUGUCUACUCUCAUGUCCAAAUUUCAUCGCGUGGUCACAAUUAUUUGGUAGUAUUUUAUUUUUUAUUUUGGUUUUAAAAAUCAAAAUGGGUUGAAAUUUUGAGGAUAUGUACAUCUUACUGAGGUGCUUUUAAUAAAAAUAUAAAAAAAUUAUCCGCUUAAACAAAUUAACCAAAAUACCCCUAAAACAUUUCAUGGGUAUUUUGGUCAAUAUUAUUUAUGUAAAAUAUUUUUUUUAUAUAUUUUUAAAAGAUUCCCUAAUUUUUGAUGAACACAGGCUUCAAAUUUCAGAUCAUUCCGAUUUGUAGAAAAAAAAAAUGAAAAAUAAAAUACUAUCAGACAAUCGUAACCGCACGAUGAACUUUAGGAGGUGAUGAGGGUAAGCAAAAUCACUAUUCAUUUUCGCCUAUAGGCGUUACGUAGUGUUUAUAUAUAUAUAUAUAUAUACGAGUAAUGAUCCUUUGAGACCCUCCCACACUAUUGAUAAGUGAGAGAAUAGCAACUGUAAUAGAGAGAAGAGAGAAAUUUAUUCCGUAUACCUACUUGAGACCCAUUCUCAAAGAGGGAAGCAGACACCGAAGUGACAUCCAUGUUGUAGAUAAGAUAUAUGCGCUGGCACCGAAGUGACAUCCCUGCUGUAGAUAAGGUAUAUGCGCUGACACCGAAGUGACAUCCCUGUUGUAGAUAAGGUAUAUGCGCUGACAUCCUGUUGAUGUAAUUUGUAGACACCCCAUUUUAAAAAUGGUAAAUUCAAUGGUUUUCCUGAACCCAUAUGUAAU